rnacentral:rRNA from 1 species
AUUGAACGCUGGCGGCAGGCCUAACACAUGCCAGUCGAGCGGAAGAAGGGAGCUUGCUCCUGGAUUCAGCGGCGGACGGGUGAGUAAUGCCUAGGAAUCUGCCUGGUAGUGGGGGAUAACGUCCGGAAACGGGCGCUAAUACCGCAUACGUCCUGAGGGAGAAAGUGGGGGAUCUUCGGACCUCACGCUAUCAGAUGAGCCUAGGUCGGAUUAGCUAGUUGGUGGGGUAAAGGCCUACCAAGGCGACGAUCCGUAACUGGUCUGAGAGGAUGAUCAGUCACACUGGAACUGAGACACGGUCCAGACUCCUACGGGAGGCAGCAGUGGGGAAUAUUGGACAAUGGGCGAAAGCCUGAUCCAGCCAUGCCGCGUGUGUGAAGAAGGUCUUCGGAUUGUAAAGCACUUUAAGUUGGGAGGAAGGGCAGUAAGUUAAUACCUUGCUGUUUUGACGUUACCAACAGAAUAAGCACCGGCUAACUUCGUG